GUACCAAGCUUGUUCCUGUGCAAGGAUGUGAAACUUGGCCUUUCCACCCCAACGAACAGGCAGCAUAAAGGUGUGCUGGAACGAUGCCGAGCAAUGCGUGGAAUAGGGAGGCUCAAGGAGGUGACCUGCACCAGGGAGGAACUCCACGGCUUCCUCGAAAUACGAGAUGUUGAAUUCUUCGAGUGACUUGGGCAGGUCGUCAUAGGCGAAAAAGGCGAGGGCCAGUGAAGCGAUGCCCCUCGAUGCUAGCUGUGCCGACCGAUACUCCAAAAGUCCACCAGCUGUUCCGAACAUGUCAACUACUCCCGGGAAAGGGCCUUCACCUGAGAGAGGAUUUGAACGCCAUGUCAAUCGGGAAUGAUGUGAGAAAAUAAGCCUGUUUAAUUGUAUAACUAAUUUUCCUUCAACAGCAAAUUGCAACUUUGCUCAGAGUUUGUGAUGCAAUGUGCAAUAAGUGUAAUUUUUAUCUAUUUUUCUUAUCAAUAAGAUAUGAACAAAUAUACAGUAAAUGUACAAACAAUUAGGCUAUUAAGCUGACAAGCACAUUAGUAAUGUAAUCAAUUAUAAUUACAAUAAUAAAAACAUCAACAGCUUUAAUCAAAGCAUCAGAAAAGUAAAUGAUAAUAAUCAUAAAGAUGAUGAUAACACUAAUGAUAAGAAUUUCAAAAAUAAAAGUUAAUGACAAGAUAUAGGAACAAAAACCUAAAACAGAGGCAAUGUGAAAAAUUAUAAUCAGGCAUGGGGAGGUAUGGUCAUAGAAAAUGGUUAUUAACUUUUAUAAAAAUGAGAAAGUAAUCAGCUAUGCAAUUGCAUAAACUGGUUAAUGACAGACAUAUAAGUAAGCUUUAUAUUUUGGCUAUCUUGCUAACACUGUGCUAUGACCUUCAAAACUAUAUUUGGUGAAAGUAAUUUUUAGUAAUAAUCUAAGAAGAUGGAGAAGAGUAAAAUGAAAGAAAAAUGAAAGAAGAAGUAGAAGAAGAAGAAGCUGAAGAAGAAGAAGAAAUGAAAUGAUGAUAAUUCGCAAAAUACCUGCGGGAAGGAAGAGAGUCCCCCGAACCUUUCCAUAACGCACUGGAAUUCGCUGAACUCCUGGCCCCAUGUAGUGCCGCUCAUGCUGUGUACUGGCCAAGGGUUUUUGACACUCUGGGGCGCACACUUCCUCUUCCGUCAGGUGUCCAUCAUAGACACUCAAUUCUAACUGGAAACCCAUGGACAUGCUGACAUGAAGUUAAAGUACAAAUAUGUAUAAAUACGCACAUAAUACCAACAGGCACAAGGAACAAUACCACCCACAAUAUUUUAUUACUACUACAAUACCUGCGACAAUAAACGAACAGCAUAAAACAACUCACGAUGUUGGGAUUCACGACAUCCCUCUUGAAAAAGCGAGUGAACUUGUACUCAGAAGGAGCAGGGUGUAAGGUACCAAUGAGUCCCAUGGGAAAGAGGCUAGCGUAACUCCCACCGAGGGAUUCCAUGGUGUUCACGUCCACCUGUCCGCUGUCGUCGGCUCUGUGUAAACAUCAUGAAGAUACAGCAUCCACACAAAAUGAUAGACAGGGAAACUCACUUAUAAUGUGCAAUGGAAAGAUAAUGAACAUUCCUAGUAUCCUUCAUGGAACAGUAAAGAGUAACAUCUUGAUUAGGAGCAAGUCCUUCCGCC
rnacentral:lncRNA from 1 species